CCUACGGGUGGCAGCAGUGGGGAAUAUUGGACAAUGGGCGAAAGCCUGAUCCAGCCAUGUCGCGUGUGUGAAGAAGGCCUUCGGGUCGUAAAGCACUUUCAGUGGGGAAGAAAGCCUUGGGGCUAAUACCCUCGAGGAAGGACAUCACCCACAGAAGAAGCACCGGCUAACUCCGUGCCAGCAGCCGCGGUAAUACGGAGGGUGCGAGCGUUAAUCGGAAUUACUGGGCGUAAAGCGCGCGUAGGCGGUCUGAUAAGCCGGUUGUGAAAGCCCCGGGCUCAACCUGGGAACGGCAUCCGGAACUGUCAGGCUAGAGUGCAGGAGAGGAAGGUAGAAUUCCCGGUGUAGCGGUGAAAUGCGUAGAGAUCGGGAGGAAUACCAGUGGCGAAGGCGGCCUUCUGGACUGACACUGACGCUGAGGUGCGAAAGCGUGGGUAGCAAACAGGAUUAGAUACCCGAGUAGUC
rnacentral:rRNA from 1 species